rnacentral:rRNA from 1 species
AUUGAACGCUGGCGGCAGGCCUAACACAUGCAAGUCGAGCGGAGCGGCGGACGGGUGAGUAAUGUCUGGGAAACUGCCUGAUGGAGGGGGAUAACGUCCGGAAACGGGCGCUAAUACCGCAUACUAUCAGAUAAGCCUAGGGCGGAUUAGCUAGUUGGUGGGGUGAAGGCCUACCAAGGCGACGAUCCCUAGCUGUGCUGAGAGGAUGACCAGCAACACUGGAACUGAGAAACGGUCCAGACGCCUACGGGAGGCAGCAGUGGGGAAUAUUGCACAAGGGGAGCAAGCCUGAUUCAGCCAUGCAGCGUGGAUGAAGAAGGGUUGCGGGUUGUAAAGGACUUUCAGUGGUGAGGCGUGACCCGCAGAAGAAGCACCGGCUAACUCCGUGCCAGCAGCCGCGGUAAUUC